CACGUGUAGCGGUGAAAUUGCGUAGAGAUGUGGAGGAACACCAGUGGCGAAGGCGACUCUCUGGUCUGUAACUGACGCUGAGGAGCGAAAGCGUGGGGAGCGAACAGGAUUAGAUACCCUGGUAGUCCACGCCGUAAACGAUGAGUGCUAAGUGUUAGGGGGUUUCCGCCCCUUAGUGCUGCAGCUAACGCAUUAAGCACUCCGCCUGGGGAGUACGGUCGCAAGACUGAAACUCAAAGGAAUUGACGGGGGCCCGCACAAGCGGUGGAGCAUGUGGUUUAAUUCGAAGCAACGCGAAGAACCUUACCAGGUCUUGACAUCCUCUGACAAUCCUAGAGAUAGGACGUCCCCUUCGGGGGCAGAGUGACAGGUGGUGCAUGGUUGUCGUCAGCUCGUGUCGUGAGAUGUUGGGUUAAGUCCCGCAACGAGCGCAACCCUUGAUCUUAGUUGCCAGCAUUCAGUUGGGCACUCUAAGGUGACUGCCGGUGACAAACCGGAGGAAGGUGGGGAUGACGUCAAAUCAUCAUGCCCCUUAUGACCUGGGCUACACACGUGCUACAAUGGACAGAACAAAGGGCAGCGA
rnacentral:rRNA from 1 species